GGCCAGCCAGGGACGGGGAGGCAAGCAGAUGUGGGGACUUGGUAGCGUGCAAUCGGAAAGGGUAGCGCGCACACACCAUUAUAUUCGUUUUCCAUGAUCGCUCGGAAGGGAUCUGAAGUUGGAGUGCCCAGGAUUUGCGCCGAUUUGGUUACGUCUCGAUGAAAUCGCGCAAGCGAGAAGCUGCGACAGCGUCGUCGGAGCAAGGGAUUUGCAGUUCUGGCGAGUGGAGAGGGGAUGAGCGAGGAGGAGGAGGAGGGGCGUUGCUGCCCGGUUUGCCGGAUGAGGUAGCUGCCCUUGUGCUGGCCAGGCUGCCGAGGUCGCUGCUGCUGGAGUUGAAGAGGGUCUGCAAGUCCUGGAAGAAGGCGCUGGAGCAGCCUUUCGUUGCGGAGACAAGGGCGGGGUUGCCGGGGUGCAUGGAGGAGUGGUUGUAUGUCCAGAGCUGGAAUUCCUACACCGGAAAGGUGGCAUGGUGGGCGUUUGAUUGGCAGGUCGGGAAGUGGCUGUGCCUGCCCACUGUUCCGCGCAGGCGGGGUGUGUCGGCGGAGGUUUUCGGACGGGCGUCCGCCGUGCUGCGUGGGAAGUUGUAUGUGAUGGGGGGAAAAGCGGGACCUUGUGGUCCCACGCUGCGCGAUCUCUUUGUUUACUGCCCCCUUAGGAAUAAAUGGUCGCGACGGAAGCAAAUGAUCAGCACACGUCACAGCCCUCUCGUCUGCGUCUUACGUGGGAAGUUGUACGUGCUAGGUGGGUUUGAUUGGGAUAAUCAGCGUAUGGAUGCAUCAGAGGUCUACGAUUACGAAAAAGAUGAGUGGGCUGUCAUUGAGAACACAGGGCAUCCUACGUUACCAGCUCCUUCGUGGUACAAAAAAGAUUGGCGACCAGAAUGGCAAAGCAUUGUCCUUAACAACCAAUCCUAUUUUUGCUCCUACACUGAGGAAGACGGACGUGCUUUUAUCAAAGAAUAUGAUCCUGAAACUGGCAUUUGGAAACUUAAAAAGCACAAGCUCAAGGCAUUAUUAAGGUAUGGAUUGAGCACGGUGCUGGCUGGGAAACUGCACACAGUGGAUUGGGCAGCUGGAAGGGUACGCGUAGCUGACACCAGUGGCAUGGGGUGGAUUCAAAUGAAGGAGAUUCAAAAUCUACCUUGGGUACAAAUCUGGAGAGCUAAUCCACAAAUGGUGGGGCUCGGAACAUCCUUGUUUGUUGUGAAAAGAGGCCUUCAGAUUAUGAGUAUAGAUGUCAGCAAAGUGGACUCCGGACAGUUGCUGCGCUUCUGGGGUGCCCCAAUGGGUCCCGGUGUCAAGGAUGAAGAGGUCCUCAGCUGCGAAGUAUUGGCACUAUGAUCCUUGCCUUGUAUUUCUGCUGGUCUUGAGCAGAGACUGUAAGCUAGGAUAACAUGGGUCUAUUACCUUGUGUUGAAUUGAUCUGAAGAGGGAGGGAGAAACGGUGUAUGCUUAAAUUUUCCCUCGUCACCAGCAGCACAAGGCUGCAUCCUUCAGUUGGCAAAGAAAUGCCAUGAACCUUUUGAUGGAAGAACGGAAUCAUGUGAUGAGUCCCACCGGAAGGAUCUUAGCGAGGUUUACAUAUGUUGUAGGCCGUUGGCGGAUGGAUCGUGUCGUAGAUGUAUUGGGGAGCCGAACCGUAUAGAACUAUUGAAAAGUAGAAAAUUCUGUUUGCAAGCAGAGGAUGUUGUUGCGUUGGAGAAUGACUUAAAGAGCAAUAGCAUCCUGUUCCGUCUGAAGGACAAUUCUUGCAUGGCUGCAUUUUUUGAGGUGCACCUAAAUAUCACGGUGUUCUUUGCCAGUGCCAUCACUGAGCAGACUGCACAAAUACUACUUGCACAGCUGCCUCUCCCAAAAAUUGCCACAAACUGAAGAUUUUGAAGUAAGGUGAGUGAGCAGUCCUGUUGUCACUGUUUCCAGUUUGUUGGGGUUUAUGAUAUAAAUGCAACUUUAGAUGAAAUGUGAUCAUGUUAUUAAACCAUAAAAUUGAAAAUGAUGGUAGAAAAAACGUGAAACCGAGAUAUUGAAUCCACAUUUAUUCGUCAAUAAAUCGUAGAACUAUUCAUGCACCAAGGCAGAUUUUCAACUUUGAACGUCUGAAGUGACCUCAGGUGCCCAUCGGUUGGGUUGUACCAUAUAUUCCAAUUGUGCUGUAUGUGCUUUUUCAAACGUCUUUGAGAUUUAACUUUGAUAUAUAUAUAUAUUUAUAUUCUCAUACAUUUACAAUUACACUCUUCAUUAAGUUAGGCAUUGGUUGAGCUAUUAGUGAAUCGAUAUUUUGAAAAAUUCACCAAAAUUACAUGUUCUAUUGCUCAGCUUGAAAUUAUGAAAGUGGUCUAACAGAUGGAUGCUGCACAGAAAGUUUAACUACUGUUGUCAAUAAUUAAUAGAUUUGGUAUAUACAAUGGUGCGCUCUAGUUGAUACAAGUGAGCAAUAUAUCAAAAGAAUGGUGAGCUGUGCAAAUUUCAGCUUAUAGUAUUACCAGUUUGAAAUUGAUGAUUUAGCAUAUAUAAUUAUGGUAUAUUCUUAUAAAAAGAAAAAUCGCUUGAAAUCAAUAUUUUGAAAGGGUUUUGAACUGUCUACUUGUGUGAAUGUCACCUAAAAAACAAAUGAGACUACCAAUUUCUAUUUCAAUACAAGCUGAUAUUUUGUUUGAAUACAUGUAGAAGAGGAGUUCGGAAUUAGGAACACUUUUGAACAAUUAUCAAUGUUAUCCACAGGUUAAACCAUUUGUGGGAGGAAUAUCAGUACUUUGUCGUAUUAACCCA